UCACUCCAGCCUUGGAGUGGUGAGAGCAAAGAGCUGGAGUGCUCAGGCCAGCUGUAGGGGCAGGAGGAGGAGGAGUCACCCCAUGUAGUUGCUGUGAUUACUUGGAAGGAGAACAGAUGAGGCCAGAACAAGGGGCAGCAAAACUUUAAAGGAUGGAUCAGCCGUUUCAGAGCUCUGGGCAAGCAGUCCUCUCUUCAGGACUUUCAGCCAGAUUGCUGCUCUGCUGGGAAGUCCCCAGCUCCUGUGCCAAAAUGUCCCUGCUCAAAGCCACCUCUCUGCCCCAUCAUGUAGCCUUUGUGUUCUGUAGGAUGUGAGUCCAGGAGUUACUCAACCCCACCUGCAUAGGCGCUGACUCCAUGGGUGCUCUGGGGCUGGAGCACCCGUGGGGGGGGAGUGGGUGCUCAGCACCCACCGGUGGCCCCGUGGAUAAGCUCCUCCACAGGGCCUCCUGCUCGCCACAGAUCAGCAACCCAGAGCACCAGAUCCUCCAUGGGUGUAAAUUGGUGUCUCUCCACUGGCUUCAGUGGAGCUGCUUCCAGCAGAAGGUCUGGCUAAAAGGGACUAAAUCAUAGUGGGCAGACAGGGGAUGGUGAAGAAGCUAAUGUGGAAGCAUAGGGGCUAAAGGAAGCACGGCGAAAUAAUUAACUGGCAGAGAUGGGUGGUGUGGCUGGGUAGUCUCUUAAAAAGGAAGGAGGAGUUGUGGGGAAUAGCUGGGUAUUUAAAAAUCCUGUCCUGUCAAGAAUAAUUGGACAGCAGAGCUAUGAUUAGAACUCAGCAGUUCCUGACUCCCAGGCCUGGGAUCAGGCCACCAGACUAUCCUUUCUGAUCCCCGUCACUCACAAGGACAUCAUGUGGCUUCAAAGAGCUGUAGCUAGGGGCAGGACACAAUCUAGGGAGCCAGAAUGUCAAAUUUCAUUUUUUGGGGGGGGAGGGGGAGGAAUCCCCAGACAGUUGCCUGUUGCAGAAUUUGGUUGUGCAAAAAUGCUCAGUUACAAAUAAUGGGCCAAGUUCUCAGCUGGCAUAAGUCAGCAUAGUUCCAUUGCAGAGCUGUCCUGAUUUAUACCAGUGGAAGAUCUGGCCCUGUGAGAAUUCUAUAUUUCUAUAGUUCACAUCUGUUAGGAAGGAAGACUUCCAAACACACAUCGUAUUGUGAUUUGUUCUCUUAAUGGUGAACAAUAAAUGCUAAGUUAAAACAA